rnacentral:tRNA from 3 species
GCCCCCGUAGCUCAAUGGAUAGAGCGCAUCGGUUCUAACGAUAGGGUUGCGCGUUCGACUCGCGCCGGGGGCA